rnacentral:rRNA from 1 species
AACGAACGCUGGCGGCAUGCCUAACACAUGCAAGUCGAACGAAGGCUUCGGCCUUAGUGGCGCACGGGUGCGUAACGCGUGGGAAUCUGCCCUUUGCUUCGGAAUAACAGUUAGAAAUGACUGCUAAUACCGGAUGAUGUCGCAAGACCAAAGAUUUAUCGGCAAAGGAUGAGCCCGCGUAGGAUUAGCUAGUUGGUGGGGUAAAGGCCUACCAAGGCGACGAUCCUUAGCUGGUCUGAGAGGAUGAUCAGCCACACUGGGACUGAGACACGGCCCAGACUCCUACGGGAGGCAGCAGUGGGGAAUAUUGGACAAUGGGCGAAAGCCUGAUCCAGCAAUGCCGCGUGAGUGAUGAAGGCCUUAGGGUUGUAAAGCUCUUUUACCCGGGAUGAUAAUGACAGUACCGGGAGAAUAAGCGCCGGCUAACCCCGUG